UCAGGAUGAACGCUGGCGGCGUGCCUAAUACAUGCAAGUCGAGCGAAUGGAUUAAGAGCUUGCUCUUAUGAAGUUAGCGGCGGACGGGUGAGUAACACGUGGGUAACCUGCCCAUAAGACUGGGAUAACUCCGGGAAACCGGGGCUAAUACCGGAUAACAUUUUGAACYGCAUGGUUCGAAAUUGAAAGGCGGCUUCGGCUGUCACUUAUGGAUGGACCCGCGUCGCAUUAGCUAGUUGGUGAGGUAACGGCUCACCAAGGCAACGAUGCGUAGCCGACCUGAGAGGGUGAUCGGCCACACUGGGACUGAGACACGGCCAGACUCCUACGGGAGGCAGCAGUAGGGAAUCUUCCGCAAUGGACGAAAGUCUGACGGAGCAACGCCGCGUGAGUGAUGAAGGCUUUCGGGUCGUAAACUCUGUUGUUAGGGAAGAACAAGUGCUAGUUGAAUAAGCUGGCACCUUGACGGUACCUAACCAGAAAGCCACGGCUAACUACGUGCCAGCAGCCGCGGUAAUACGUAGGUGGCAAGCGUUAUCCGGAAUUAUUGGGCGUAAAGCGCGCGCAGGUGGUUUCUUAAGUCUGAUGUGAAAGCCCACGGCUCAACCGUGGAGGGUCAUUGGAAACUGGGAGACUUGAGUGCAGAAGAGGAAAGUGGAAUUCCAUGUGUAGCGGUGAAAUGCGUAGAGAUAUGGAGGAACACCAGUGGCGAAGGCGACUUUCUGGUCUGUAACUGACACUGAGGCGCGAAAGCGG
rnacentral:rRNA from 1 species